UGCCUCGUAGCUCAGUUGGAUGAGAGUGCCGCACUACGAAUGCGGAGGCCGCGGGUUCGAGUCCUGCCGGGGCAG
rnacentral:tRNA from 1 species